rnacentral:tRNA from 1 species
UGGAUCCUCAAAAAUCCCUUAAA